AGCGAACGCUGGCGGCAGGCCUAACACAUGCAAGUCGAACGAACCUUUCGGGGUUAGUGGCGGACGGGUGAGUAACACGUGGGAACGUGCCUUUAGGUUCGGAAUAACUCAGGGAAACUUGUGCUAAUACCGAAUGUGCCCUUCGGGGGAAAGAUUUAUCGCCUUUAGAGCGGCCCGCGUCUGAUUAGCUAAUUGGUUGAGGUAAUGGCUCACCAAGGCGACGAUCAGUAGCUGGUCUGAGAGGAUGAUCAGCCACAUUGGGACUGAGACACGGCCCAAACUCCUACGGGAGGCAGCAGUGGGGAAUCUUGCGCAAUGGGCGAAAGCCUGACGCAGCCAUGCCGCGUGAAUGAUGAAGGUCUUAGGAUUGUAAAAUUCUUUCACCGGGGACGAUAAUGACGGUACCCGGAGAAGAAGCCCCGGCUAACUUCGUG
rnacentral:rRNA from 1 species